UGGUGGAGCGAUUUGUCUGGUUAAUUGCGAUAACGAACGAGACCUUAACCUGCUAAAUAGCCCGUAUUGCUUUGGCAGUACGCCGGCUUCUUAGAGGGACUAUCGGCUCAAGCCGAUGGAAGUUUGAGGCAAUAACA
rnacentral:rRNA from 1 species